rnacentral:rRNA from 1 species
UAGGGAAUCUUCCACAAUGGACGCAAGUCUGAUGGAGCAACGCCGCGUGAGUGAAGAAGGUCUUCGGAUCGUAAAGCUCUGUUGUUGGUGAAGAAGGAUAGAGGCAGUAACUGGUCUUUAUUUGACGGUAAUCAACCAGAAAGUCACGGCUAACUACGUGCCAGCAGCCGCGGUAAUACGUAGGUGGCAAGCGUUGUCCGGAUUUAUUGGGCGUAAAGCGAGCGCAGGCGGAAUGAUAAGUCUGAUGUGAAAGCCCACGGCUCAACCGUGGAACUGCAUCGGAAACUGUCAUUCUUGAGUGCAGAAGAGGAGAGUGGAACUCCAUGUGUAGCGGUGGAAUGCGUAGAUAUACGGAAGAACACCAGUGGCGAAGGCGGCUCUCUGGUCUGCAACUGACGCUGAGGCUCGAAAGCAUGGGUAGCGAACAGGAUUAGAUACCCUGGUAGUCCAUGCCGUAAACGAUGAGCGCUAGGUGUUGGG